GCCAUAGCUCAGUCGAUAGAGCCUCUGCAUUGCAUGCAGAAGGUUCCAGGUUCGAUUCCUGCCACCUCUGGGUACA